rnacentral:rRNA from 1 species
GACGAACGCUGGCGGCGUGCCUAAUACAUGCAAGUAGGACGCAGUUGCGAACGGGUGAGUAACGCGUCGGUAACUGCCUAUUAGUGGGGGAUAACUAUUGGAAACGAUAGCUAAUACCGCAUACUAGUAGAUGGACCUGCGUUGUAUUAGCUAGUAGGUAGGGGAAUGGCCUACCUAGGCGACGAUACAUAGCCGACCUGAGAGGGAGAUCGGGCACACUGGGACUGGGACAAGGGCCAGAAUCCUUAGGGAGGGAGCAGGAGGGGAUUUUCGGAAAUGGGGGGAACCCUGAACGAGCAACGCCGGGGGAGUUGAGAAGGGUUUUGGGUCGUAAAGCUCUGUUGUUAAGGAAGCGGUACUUAACCAGAAAGGGACGGCUAACUACGUGCCAGCAGCCGCGGUAAUUC